AUACGUAGGUGGCAAGCGUUGUCCGGAAUUAUUGGGCGUAAAGCGCGCGCAGGCGGUCCUUUAAGUCUGAUGUGAAAGCCCACGGCUCAACCGUGGAGGGUCAUUGGAAACUGGGGGACUUGAGUGCAGAAGAGGAAAGUGGAAUUCCAAGUGUAGCGGUGAAAUGCGUAGAGAUUUGGAGGAACACCAGUGGCGAAGGCGAUUUUCUGGUCUGUAACUGACGCUGAGGCGCGAAAGCGUGGGGAGCAAACAGGAUUAGAUACCCUGGUAGUCCACGCCGUAAACGAUGAGUGCUAAGUGUUAGGGGGUUUCCGCCCCUUAGUGCUGCAGCUAACGCAUUAAGCACUCCGCCUGGGGAGUACGGUCGCAAGACUGAAACUCAAAGGAAUUGACGGGG
rnacentral:rRNA from 1 species